AUUGACUGUAACGAGUGCCAGAGAACAAGCGGCCGACUUAGGUAUCACUCUUCGUGCACUGCUAGGCCUUGAUGAGGCGCCAAUGAAGGACGUAGUAUUUACAUAUGUGAAGAAUGGCCCUCUCGUCGAGCCUGCGCAGGAAGAGGAUCUACCUCGACAAAUGAAAGGUCUGCUAAAUUGGUACAAGGGUUACAUAAAACAUAAAAACGCCAAAGAGUAUAUCUAUGCGGAAGUUAGAUAUGAGCAUCACUUCAAACAUUACUGGGUACAAAUUCAUCUGAGUGAAUUGUUCCAGCUGUUCAAUCUGCGCGACCUCGACAAAUCUAUCAUCAGUUGCUACGUUCUAAUGAAGAAGCGGGAAAUGCGAAUAAGGAACAUCCAUGAUGUUGGGUUCAUUGACCCACACAUCGUUAAUUCACAUGUGUUAGAACACCACCCCGCCGACGUGGAGGAUGACCUGUGGCGGUUUAUUAGAAAACAGCAACAGAAAAGUGAUAUUCUAUUUCCUUACCAUUUUGGGUGAGUGUUUCUGUCUUGAGCACAUUCUCUUUUGUUUACUCCAUGCAUGGUAUGUGGCUAAUCGAUGAGUUAUGCAUGACUGUGCAUGUAUCGUGUCCGCAGGUUCCACUGGAUUCUUAUGGUAAUUAAAGUUCAGACCUCCUCAGUUCUCGUCCACGACUCUCUGAAUAUGGAUCCGGCGCUUUGGGGCGACAUGAGAAAAAUGAUGCAAAAGGUUUGGAGACGGUUCGUAGAUACCAAGGUCGGUGAAUUCAAAAAAGAGCUACAUUUUAAAAUGGCAGUGCGGACGACUGGGGAUAUUCAGCCACCGGGGACCAAUCUAUGUGGAUACUAUGUUUGUGAGAGGAUCCGGAGAUACUGCAAUGAGCGGGACCAGAAGUGUGAGAACAACAUCCUGAGGAAUAACCUCCGGAAGACGCUUAGUCCAGAAGCUCGCUUCCGACCACUUCAAGAGGAACUAGCUGGAUGGUUGGCGAGGGAAGUCAUCGAUCCUAGAGGAGAACACUAUUACGAUGACGUAGAACUUUAUAUGCACCAGAAUUUGUAACUAACUUGUUCAAAAUUGUAUAUGGUCAUCCGAUAUUGAAUAUAUAUUGUAUAUGGUCAUCCGAUAUUGAAUAUAUAUUGUAUAUUCCUCUUGAAUUCUUUUUGGUUCUAAUUUCAAAUUUGUUUGAAAUUGUACAUUCAUAUGCAUGUAUGUAUACAGUACCGUACAAUAUGUGAAACUCCUUCAAAAUUAAAACCCAAAAGAAAUAAAACAAUACAAAUUAAAAAGAAACCAGAUUUAGGGGGAGGGGGGCUAAAACCCUAAACCCUGCGGAGGCCUUUAGUCGCGGUUGGCCAGAAGAACCGCGACUAAAGGUCCUCCGCCCUGGCGCUCGCCUGCGGCCC